AUGCUGUCUGCUUCUUGCUCAGGCCUUGUGAUCUUGUUGAUAUUUGGAAGGACCAAUGGCGACUCUGUGACCCAGACAGAAGGCUGGGUUACCCUCCCUGAGGGGGCAGCUCUGACCUUGAACUGCACUUACCAGAGCAGCUAUACAGUUUUCCUUUUCUGGUAUGUCCAGUUUCCAAACAAAGCACCCGAGCUCCUCCUGAAAAGCUCAUCAGAAAACCAGAAGAUGUACAGCAGAGGUUUUCACGUCAAUCAUGAUAAAAGUGAUGGCUCCUUCCACCUGCAGAAACCCUCCGUGGAACUGUCAGACUCGGCUGUGUACUACUGCGCUCUGCACACAGUGAGAGGGGCUGCGGGGGGAACCCUACACAAACCCUGA